rnacentral:lncRNA from 1 species
CCCCACUUCGAUGACAUGGCAGCCGGAGCACAGACUGUCACUCAGAUACUGUGAGAAAUGUGAAAAGGGUAUUCUUGUCUUUCCAGGUGGCUUCAAAACUCCUUUCCCACCUCAAACAAUGUCUGUAUCUACUCUGACUCAUAUGUUUGGGUGAACUUUGCUUGGUACUCAUCUGUAUGGUAAUACCAAAAAGUAUUUCCAGGCAGAAAAUCAGCAUUUUAGUGGGUACAUUGUUUUGUGUUUGGUGACCAUUUUGUUCUCUGGGUUCUAGAGUUAUAGGUACAUUUUGAAGGCUAGGACUUCCCUGGUGGCUUAGAUGGUAAAGCGUCUGUCUAUAAUUGUGGGAGACCCGGGUUCAAUCCCUGGGUUGGGAAGAUCCCCUGGAGAAGGAAAUGGCAAUCCACUCCAGUACUAUUGCCUGGAAAAUCCCAUGGACAGAGGAGCCUGGUAGGCUACAGUCCAUGGGGUCGCAAAGAGUUGGACACGACUGAGCGACUUCACUUUCACUUUCACCGUUGAAGGCUGUCUUGGCCAGAUUUCGGUUAGUCUUUGGCAGUAGGGGACAACACAGAAAACCAUCCCUAUCUACUCUUUUCUAGAAAGAACACUUCUAUCAGAAGCACCAUUUUAUUUCCACACCCACCAAUAGGCUCAGUAAAGGAAAGGCAAGUAACAGUUACUAAGUACAGGACAUUUUUUCCCAUGAAUUAUCACUCUUCAGGCAUGGUCAGGAGGCUGCUAGUAAACCAGACUCUGAAAACUCAGACUGCUCUGGAGAAAUCAUUAACCUCCAUAGCUGUGGUCAGACUGAGGACACACGGAGAGCAUGGCUUUGUCCAAGACAUACAUCCGGGCCAUCUGACAUAUCCUGUUUUCCUGUGACUCUACUUCACUAAGUUUGGAGAGUAUUGAAUAUGACCUCUUUGGAUAGAUUAGAUAACUAUUAAGCUCCUUCCAUUAGACUAUUCAGGUAUGACCUAAAUCAAAUCACUUAUGAUUAUACAGUGGAAGUGAGAAAUAGAUUCAAGGGACUAGAUCUGAUAGAUA